GGAGCUUUUAGCCUGGGAUUGGCCCUGAUCUGGGAGGACAACCUUAGCAACAAACUCAGAGAAAGUUGUAGAGAGAGACUAAGCUCCCAGAAGAGAGGACUGGAGAAUGAAACUCCCCAACAAGCAUUUGCAAAAGGCAAAGCCCCGGAUCAGAGUAGAAUGUAAGCAUCCUGGCUGGAGGGCUGAAUCACAAGAAGGAACACACCUCUAUGACCACAGAGUAGUUGCUGGCAGGGGGUGACAGACCGAAGAGCACAUCAGCCAGUGACUGAACCUUGUACACACUCUCUGAUAACAAGUUUCUUCUAGGAGAAAUCCCUGUUUGACAGUCUUUUAGAUGAUACUAAAGAUGAAAUUAGCUGUCCAUUUAAAUAGUCUGGAGCUGCUGUUGUUAUUGGAGUAUAAUCCUGUUUCCUUGAAGACAAAACAAACACACACAAUCAGAGAAAACAGAACGGCAAAGAGAAAAUGCAGCUUCUGUCUCUAGUGCUGACUUUAACAUGGAACCUCAUUACUGGAGAAACAGGCCCAGCACGUGGUCUGAUCAGUGCUUCAAGACCUGGCGAACUUGUAUUCGGCUGUUUAAGGCAUUGCUUUUAGCUGCCUCUCUGGUUACAAGCUCACAGCAGGGUUGCAAAAUAUGGAGUUGUCUGGGCCAGCUUUAGACAGAAAAAAAAACAGGAAGGGAAGAAAAGAAAUAAGCUGGGGAAGGAAAAUGACACAUGGGGGGCUGAGGGGAGUAACAGCAGGAGUCCAAGUCUCAGAUCCCAAGUGGUGUUCAGGAUUUAGUCAAUGCUGGUGAAGGUGGCAUUGUCCUUGGAUUCAUUCUAUUUUGCCUGGUCUGGUCAGCCUGUCUUUCAGGAUCAGAAUGACAAAGGCCUGAUGAUGUCCUGGUGAAUCUUGAGGGCCCCAGGAGAUGGCAGGGGUGGCAGCAAUGAGAGUAAAGCUGGCUUCUUCCAGUCCAUGCAUUCCACACUCACUCGCGUUUUGUGAUGCACCUCCCCACCAUCCCCGAUAAACAACGUCCAAGCAAGAGUGGCAGCCUUAUCCCAUUAUAAUCAAUCAAAACACAUUUAACUGAUUUCAGCUAUAACAUUGCCUCCCAUUUCUAGACUCUUUCAGCUCGUUGUCAUGCCAACUUGUGACUUUACUAGGAGCCUUGACAACCCCUUUGCACAGUUCUUUACCUUAAACGAUCCAGUCUUCACUGGUCUAUUUGUCUCCAACUUUUGCUGACUUUUUAUAAACAAUUUU